UGGGCAUGAUCAAGGCUUUCAGAAUGCACUUUCUCAUUUGCUGUGGACAAGACCAUAAAAAACUCCCCACCACGUUUUCUAUGUGCCACCUUGUUAGCAGUCAAUUUACUGGGAACAAUA
rnacentral:snoRNA from 1 species